rfam:Salmo salar isolate Sally breed double haploid chromosome ssa06, whole genome shotgun sequence.
UGCAAUCACUACUGUAAGUCGCUCUGGAUAAGAGCGUCUGCUAAAUGACUCAAA